AUAUGCUUCUUCCCGUAAGUUUACAUUUUCACUCUGAAUUUAAAACAUAUUCGAGGUGAUACUAAAUUUUGUUUAGACAGUUUUCGAAAACUCCCCCUGUCGUAUCAAAUAUUCAACCCGCGGUCCACAAGCACAUAGAAGCACGGGUUCUCCUCGCCUCCCAAUCCCAGCCGCCAUGAGGCGAUCCCGGCGACGCUCGAUCCGGUGCUGCGAGCUAGGGUUCGAGCAGCCACCUCUCCGGCCUCCCCGCCGGCGGCGCGCCGACGCGCCGGUCACGCCUCUUCUCCUCCCCUUCCCUCCUCUGCUCUUGGCCUCUUGCCCCCUUCUCCUCCACCCAAUUAUUUUCCGUCCGUCUCAAUUCGAUCCAUCCCUCCUGAGCGGCGGCUGCAGGCGACGUGGUGCCAUUCCACUCCUCUCUCCUCAAGGGGUCGCCAUCCCGAGACGCGCUAAUCUGGUGCUACUAGAGGUGUCCGUCGUUGUCGACCUGACAGGCUCAACAGUCGCCGCUCGAGCUCCACAUCCCCAAGGCGAGGUGGAAGAAGCCCCAAUCGCGGGCAACUGCCGCGGCCCCAACAACACCGAUGGGGGCUGGGAGGUAGAGGUCAGGGACAGUGGAGAUGAUGAACAGGCCGCGGACGCCAGUCGAAGGCCUUGAGAAGGACUGCGCGGUCGGACUCGAGAGCAGCUGCACUAGAGGACACCAUGGUCUUGGCAUUGCUGCCCCGCACGAGAAGAGGAGGGUUCCCUCCGCCGCCGCCGAGCCCGCAUCCGUCCUCUCCGCGGUGCCCGUCCUCGCUCCGCCAUUGCCAAAUCGUACGAGAUCGGCAGGAUCCGCUGCAUCUUUCGCGCCGCCGCCGGUGCUUCACCUGUUGUCGGCCUCCUUCCAGUUCCCUCGUCGCCGAGGACGAGCACGCCAAGUUUCCAUGCCUUUUCCAGCGGUGCUGAUGACGAGUUGUUCCCCAACUGAAGGAACAGAUCAAGGCCAUGGGAUCCAGCCGGUGAGAGUCCCUUGACCGCAUCACCUUGCUGAACACAUGGUGGGGGACGGCAUGGACGAGCUGCUCGUCGGCAUCCAUCCCCUGCACCCAGCCCCCGCCUACGAUGGCCGCCCAUCACCCUCGACGGGGCGCGCCUCCAGCAUCCCGAGAAUCAGCGCCAACCUCCCUGGGAGAGCUCCUCCUACCUCAAGAGGAGGCGCAUGAGCCGAGCCCAGCCAUCACGCGCCCGUGGCCAACAACAACCUCCAGGUCGCAUCAGCGUUCGGUGGCAUGGGCAUGCUCUCCACUGAUUGAUUUUUGUAUGGAAGAUUUUUCUGAGUGGGGGCCGGGCAACGCCCAUGGGUGCUGUGUAGGAGUACAUGUUCAAGACAAUCAACAGCUUCUUUGAUGACUUCCUCACCUAAUGGAGAGAUACAAUUUUGGGACAGUGAAUAGAUGUCUAAUAGGGGCACCGCCGCAUGAGGAAUGACACUUUCUGGCUAGCAGUGGCGACGACCACCACUGGACAAGAGGGAUCAACAUGCUGACUGAACGAGCUCGUCCUCGGAGUUAACUUCCACUACUUUCACUGAUUUGGACUCACUUCUCUUCAGUCCAAAUAUUUGGACUCUCAGUUAACUUCCUGCUUUUCAGAAGUUUAAUUUAGUUCCACCAUUUGAAAUUCUUCAGCAACAGUUAGUCGUCGGCCGUGAGGCGGUUAGAGAACAUGGUGACUGUAGCAUAAGCUACACAGCCGGUUUUUGCUCCGAUCACCUGCCUUGCUACUUGUGCGUGAUUAUGAUCUGAUUUGUAUGCAACUCUGACAUGUGAAAAUAAUGAAGCUGCCAGCUGGUUCUUUGCAUGUUCCAAAGAGCUUUUGUGUUCGUUUAAUUUUGAUAGAAAUUUGGUUCUCAGUUCUUGGAUGCAUAGCUCUUUUACUGUAGCAGUUAUCUUUUGUUAACUGCAACGGUUAACUUCAUUGUUACUGUAGUGGGUUCCUAUUAUAAAUUGAGAAAAAAAAUAACUGGUGCAGUUAGCUGUGAGAUGCAGUUCUCUUUGGAAAUUGAUGGUCCCGUUAGCUUUAGGAAAAAACAGAAAGUUUAAUUUGCAUUUUACAAAACAAUUCAUCUUUUAUGGUCCAGUUAGCUUUAGAAAAAACUGAGGGACGUUCUGCAGUUUGUUUUUCUUUUGAUGAGAAAAUGUAGUAGUUAGAUGAGCACUCCCGCCAUGGUUGUAGGAGGAGAGAAAUGUAGCAAUUAGGAGUUUAUUUGUCUUUGUUGCUUCGGGCCACAAGAGAAUAACUGUGAAAAAUUGUUGUAGCAGUUAACAUGUAAAAAUGUCACAGUCAAUGUGUGAGAGAAAAAAGUUACUGUGUUACAGAAAAAGGAAAAAUAUUUGUUGUACCAGAAGUUAACUAUUCAAUUUACCAACAGUUUUUUUUUUGCAGGGGUAAUUUAGCAGCAAAAUUAGCAUCGUUUUCCUUCAGUCCACUUUUCGUGUGCGUUCAGUCAUGUAUUGCCGUCUCUAUUUGGCAUGAUUUGCAGCGAGUUUCUUUGGUGUCUAUUUUUAUUCCAGUGCCUUGUUCUUUCUGGCAAGACAGUACUUGUGUUAAUGCCUAUGGUAGAUUAGCAUGUAUUAUGAUUAAGAACUACAAUUGAUCAGCAUAUUGAGUAAGCAAGAUGGUCGGCAAUCAAACUGAGUGCUAGCAUUAAGCUUGAAUCCUGGUCGUUCCUUCUCCCCUUCUCUAUUUUGCUAUAGUCUGAAUAUUCUGAAUUUUGAAUACUUGCAGGUACCUUCUGAACUGAACUUUGAACACUUGCAUGUAGAUUCUAAACUGAUGUUUGAAGGCAUGCAGGCAAAUUUAUUUCAAGCAUCGGGUUGUCUUGGGACCGGAUACUGAUGAGGUCGGAGACGAUGGUUCAUGGCGGAGGCCGUCGACAACCGCCAGGACACGAGAAAAAACCAGCACGUCGCCCUCGCGCGAGUGUUGAAUCAGUCGUGUGAAAAUUAUGUGCGACAUUUCUAUGCUCAAUAUGCGCCGGGGCGCCGCCGCUGCUCCGUGCCCACCACAACAUCAACCGCCACUAGCCCUCAUGUUUCUGCAUUGUCUCCACCACGGGCGUGGUAGCCCGUGCAGCCACCUCAUGCGUCCUUCAUCGCCCAUGCCUAUGUCCCCUGUGUGACGCGGUUCCGCCUCAUCGGGUGAGGAAACCGGCACCUCGGCUGCCAUCUCACACAUGUCGGCAUGCACCUGGGUGUGCGGUGAGAACAAUGCAUUUUCCCAACAGGACAUCUUUCUUUAGCAAACUUUAUGUUUUUACAAGGAUAGUUUGCAAGAUAGUGGUACUAUCGUAACGUAUUGUAGUGCCUACUGGUGACAUAGUUUUUAGUAGCCAUGGUGACAUCAGGUGAUCCUUAUGAGCAAAACUACCAUGACAAGCAUACGGGUCAAUAGAAUCCAGAAAGUUGCAUUUUAUUUGCUCUAUUAAAAAAUGGAUUCAAUUUCAAUGAAAAUCGUUAACUGGACUCCCAUGAUUGCGGUGGUGUAUUAUUCUGCAAAAUGUAGUUUUGUCACCUUUUAAUGUUUUCAUUCACAUAUGUGGUCAUAUAUGUUGCCUCACAUGAUGCGAGUUAUCAGCCAUGCAGACGUAGUUCUUAUCUUUCUUUUCAUCACACUUUUGGCCAAUUAAUUAGCUUUCGUUGCAUCAUACACACAUCUGAAUAAUGAAUAAAAUGAUGUACCUUUUGGAUUACUUCUUCACCAACAUAUGUUCCACUCUACAUUUGUCUUUUGGAUUACUUCUUCACCAAUUUAUGUUCCACUCUACAUUUAUAUCAGGAAAAAUAGUUGUCUAUAGUGACCUUGUAUAUAGUGGUUUUAGCAGGCAUGGGUGUUUGCAUUUUUCUAUUUUCUACGCGCUGCAACGCACGGGCCCUUUUGCUAGUGUAGUUUCAUCAUAUACAUAUUUGGUUUCAUAAAAAAAUUUGUUUUGCAUAAUGUCGGUCAAAUUAC